UCUUUUGAACAUCAAUACGCAGAUUUAUUUUUUAGCGGGAAUUUUUUGUUUUGGACGCAAGGCUGAGGUGUUCAAGAAGCAAGAUCGUUCCUUACCCUUUUAAAGUUUGAGGAAUAUGAUUCAAUCAUAGCCAAGAACCAAGAGGAAUUUAGACGGCUAAUAUCAAAGGAUAUUGUUGAAAAUAAGAAUCGUGGUUGAAUAAUCUAUAAACAAUGGCAAUGGGGCCAACGUCAUCCGAAAGCCCAAACCUUCCCAAAACGAAUAGCGCUUCAGAAAAUUGUCACAAAAAGAUUACAAGUCAAGAUGCUCAGAAUUGUCGAGCUGUAGGGAGAAUGUUGGCCAUGAUUGGAGAUCAAGUURAUCAGUGUGUAUCACUACAGCAAAGUGCGAAGGACUGCGCUAUGCAGGAGCUCAAACCCAUGGCAAUAAAAUUACAAUCUGCCGGAGCUCCAAGUAGAUAAAAGACUUUGAUGACGGCCGCCUAAAGGUUUAUGUAUAUAUUGUGAAAAUGUAAUACUGAAAUAAGACGAACAAAUAGCGAUAUUUGGUUCAUUCAAGCUCAAGAUUACUUGAUUAUUAUCAGGUCUCCUGGCUGCAUUUUUUCUAUUUUCAGAGGAACAAAACGAUUUUAAGAUAAAAAAAAUCCUAAAAAACUUGACCUAAAAUAAGUAAGGUCUAUCUAAAGAUUGACAUUAUGUAAAAUAUGCACCAUCAGCUGAUGCAUUGACAGUUUUUUUAACUGUCGUUUCCAUUGGUUUCCAUUGUUCUUGCUAUCAGAACCGGAACAGUUCAAAUGGUAGGCCCAAGAAAAACAACAUCGAGGACAAAGACCUUUGUUUUACAAUGAAUGAAGUCGAACUUUGCGCUUGAGUAAGCCUUUCAUUGUKAAGAUUUAUUGUUAGAAACUCUUGUAAAUAGGUUCAAAGUCGACUUCAUUGUACAGUAUAAAGAUUAUUAUUAUUGUA